AGAGUUUGAUCAUGGCUCAGAACGAACGCUGGCGGCAUGCCUAACACAUGCAAGUCGAACGAGACCUUCGGGUCUAGUGGCGCACGGGUGCGUAACGCGUGGGAAUCUGCCCUUUGCUUCGGAAUAACAGUUAGAAAUGACUGCUAAUACCGGAUGAUGUCUUCGGACCAAAGAUUUAUCGGCAAAGGAUGAGCCCGCGUAGGAUUAGGUAGUUGGUGGGGUAAAGGCCUACCAAGCCGACGAUCCUUAGCUGGUCUGAGAGGAUGAUCAGCCACACUGGGACUGAGACACGGCCCAGACUCCUACGGGAGGCAGCAGUGGGGAAUAUUGGACAAUGGGCGCAAGCCUGAUCCAGCAACGCCGCGUGAGUGAUGAAGGCCUUCGGGUCGUAAAGCUCUUUUACCAGGGAUGAUAAUGACAGUACCUGGAGAAUAAGCUCCGGCUAACUCCGUG
rnacentral:rRNA from 1 species